UACGUAGGGGGCAAGCGUUGUCCGGAAUCAUUGGGCGUAAAGAGCGUGUAGGCGGCUCGGUCAGUCCGCUGUGAAAGUCCAGGGCUCAACCCUGGAAUGCCGGUGGAAACUGUCGGGCUAGAGUCCGGAAGAGGCGAGUGGAAUUCCUGGUGUAGCGGUGAAAUGCGCAGAUAUCAGGAGGAACACCAAUGGCGAAGGCAGCUCGCUGGGACGGUACUGACGCUGAGACGCGAAAGCGUGGGGAGCAAACAGG
rnacentral:rRNA from 1 species